UGCAGUCGACGGUGAACACGGAGCUUGCUCUGUGGGAUCAGUGGCGAACGGGUGAGUAACACGUGAGCAACCUGCCCCUGACUCUGGGAUAAGCGCUGGAAACGGCGUCUAAUACUGGAUAUGUGACGUGACCGCAUGGUCUGCGUUUGGAAAGAUUUUUCGGUUGGGGAUGGGCUCGCGGCCUAUCAGCUUGUUGGUGAGGUAAUGGCUCACCAAGGCGUCGACGGGUAGCCGGCCUGAGAGGGUGACCGGCCACACUGGGACUGAGACACGGCCCAGACUCCUACGGGAGGCAGCAGUGGGGAAUAUUGCACAAUGGGCGCAAGCCUGAUGCAGCAACGCCGCGUGAGGGAUGACGGCCUUCGGGUUGUAAACCUCUUUUAGCAGGGAAGAAGCGAAAGUGACGGUACCUGCAGAAAAAGCGCCGGCUAACUACGUGCCAGCAGCCGCGGUAAUACGUAGGGCGCAAGCGUUAUCCGGAAUUAUUGGGCGUAAAGAGCUCGUAGGCGGUUUGUCGCGUCUGCUGUGAAAUCCCGAGGCUCAACCUCGGGCCUGCAGUGGGUACGGGCAGACUAGAGUGCGGUAGGGGAGAUUGGAAUUCCUGGUGUAGCGGUGGAAUGCGCAGAUAUCAGGAGGAACACCGAUGGCGAAGGCAGAUCUCUGGGCCGUAACUGACGCUGA
rnacentral:rRNA from 1 species